GGCCGAGUGGUGUGAGUGUUGGCAAACACGUACCGUGGUGUUCGGUAAGGUCCCCGGUUCGACUCCGGGCUCGGCCA